rnacentral:rRNA from 1 species
AUUGAACGCUGGCGGCAGGCUUAACACAUGCAAGUCGAGCGGGGGAAGGUAGCUUGCUACCGGACCUAGCGGCGGACGGGUGAGUAAUGCUUAGGAAUCUGCCUAUUAGUGGGGGACAACAUCUCGAAAGGGAUGCUAAUACCGCAUACGUCCUACGGGAGAAAGCAGGGGAUCUUCGGACAUUGCGCUAAUAGAUGAGCCCAAGCCGGAUUAGCUAGUUGGUGGGGUAAAGGCCUACCAAGGCGACGAUCUGUAGCGGGUCUGAGAGGAUGAUCCGCCACACUGGGACUGAGACACGGCCCAGACUCCUACGGGAGGCAGCAGUGGGGAAUAUUGGACAAUGGGGGGAACCCUGAUCCAGCCAUGCCGCGUGUGUGAAGAAGGCCUUAUGGUUGUAAAGCACUUUAAGCGAGGAGGAGGCUCUUUUGGUUAAUACCCAAGAUGAGUGGACGUUACUCGCAGAAUAAGCACCGGCUAACUCUGUGCCAGCAGCCGCCGCAG